rnacentral:rRNA from 1 species
GACGAAGGGGGCUAGCGUUGUUCGGAAUUACUGGGCGUAAAGCGCGUGUAGGCGGUUGCCCAAGUCGGGUGUGAAAGCCUUGAGCUCAACUCCAGAACUGCCUUUGAUACUGGCGAUCUCGAGUCCGGGAGAGGUGAGUGGAACUGCGAGUGUAGAGGUGAAAUUCGUAGAUAUUCGCAAGAACACCAGUGGCGAAGGCGGCUCACUGGCCCGGUACUGACGCUGAGGUGCGAAAGCGUGGGGAGCAAACAGG